rnacentral:sRNA from 1 species
UAUUAUAUUAUUAGUCUAUCCUAUAUUCGCACACGCAGUCUAUUCACAUCCUUUGCACUCUCUCGCUCUCUCUCGCUCUCUCUCUCUCUAUCUAUUCUUGAUCUCGCUCUCAGUGCUUGCUCUCUCGCGCCUCGUUCGGCUCUCGCGUUUAACGUUUACUCUCACUUGCUCUUGCUCUAGCUCUUGCUCUUGCUGUCUUCCUAUCGGGCUCUCUGGCUCUCGGUGUUCUGCUACGUAACGGUAAAUUUGUGAACGCGCCUGCUUCUUAUUGAACGAACCGCCUGUCGUUGUUCAGCACUCGUGCCAUACACAAAUCGAUCGCGUGUCCGCCCCCACCAAGUCGGCCCCAGCUCCCUCCUCGGGUUAUCAAUUAAGUGGCUAGCAAGAAGCAACACACAAAAAAAAAACAUCUAAAAGUGCCCCAAAAAAAAAA